rnacentral:rRNA from 1 species
UACAGAGGUCUCAAGCGUUGUUCGGAUUCAUUGGGCGUAAAGGGUGCGUAGGCGGCGCGGUAAGUCGGGUGUGAAAUCUCGGAGCUUAACGCCGAAACUGCAUUCGAUACUGCCGUGCUUGAGGACUGGAGAGGAGACUGGAAUUUACGGUGUAGCGGUGAAAUGCGUAGAUAUCGUAAGGAAGACCAGUGGCGAAGGCGGGUCUCUGGACAGUUCCUGACGCUGAGGCACGAAGGCCAGGGGAGCAAACGGG